AUAGACUAAUAGCUCUGUGAGGUGUAUUUCUUGCAAUUAUCUCUAUAACACCAGCCAUGACUAAGGGCAAACAGAAAUAAUAGACCUCUCAUAAUAAAACCUAAAAUGAAGCCGCAGAGGAUGAAAUGACUCUAUCAGUGACUUAAUUGCACAUUAGAUCAUAACAAUACUUCUCAAAAGAAGGUAACAGAAAAUUGGCUAUAACAUACUAUCCUUAACAUCCAGUAUAAUAUAAAAUUCAUUGUACAUGCACAUUCGUGAUAAGACGUUAGUAGAAAGAGACCUAGUGAUGACUACUAUGGUGGAAUUAACAUAUGAAAAUGUUAAAAUAAUCACAGCAAUGGAUAGACAUAAUGGGCAAAGAAGUAAAAUUUUAAAAGGGGUAUGAAAACUUAUUUUUAUGGAGUUAUAACAUAUAUUGAAAUAUAUGGCACACAGAAUGGAGGUGGGAUAGAAAUUAUAAAAAAAAGAGGGAUACAUUUAAUUACACUGUUGGAAGAUUCUUGUAUUAUACAUGUAGAGAUAAUACUAAUUAUAAAUAGAUUGUGAUAAAUUAAAGAAUAGUAUAUUAAUCUAAAAAGGAACCAUUCUAAACAUAAUACAAUGAGGUAAGUUAAAAGUUAAAAUUCUAUGUUUAAAAACCUGAUUUUAAAAAAAAACAAACACAAAAACCUGAUUUAACCCUUCUCAACCAUAUAUAAACUCUUUUGUAAAACGAAGAGAAUUCUUACCAAUUUCUUUCAUAAAGCCAGUAUAACAUUGAUCCUAAAACCUGAUGAGGACAUUACAGAAAAUAAAUUUAGACUAAUAUUGCCCUUGAAAUUAGAUACAAUAAUCCAUAACAACAUAUUUGUAACUGAAUUCAGCAAUGUAGAUAAAGGUUAAUUCAUCAGAAUAGCUGUGGUUAAUGCAAAGAAUACAAGAGUCGUUUAACAUUUGACAAUCAGAGCAAAGACCUUACAGUUCAUAUUAUAAUUAAUGGUAAUAUUGAAUAUUUUCAUGCAAAGAUAAGGAACAAGGCAAAAAACGACCCUUCUAAUGGCUUCUACUCAACAUUGUACUGUAAGGCAAUACACACAUGUGUACCAUGUGUGUGGAAUAAUAUGAAAAGAUGCCUAAGAUCAUGAGUCAUCAAGAUAAUGCAAAUUAGUAUAUGUGCUGCUGAAGUGAGCAUGGGGUAAUACAAAUGAAAAUAAUAAUGAGUAUACUUUAUGGAUGACUCAGAGAUUUGAGUGGACUUCUUUUUUAAAGAUCUGUCUCUGUAAGAUACCUAAAAUCCUACUCUUCAGACCUGACAAACUUGUCUUUCAGUUCAUGAAAACUGAAUGGAUAACUGUCUUCAUCUUUGAGAGUCGGUAGACUUUCAAGAAUCUGCAAUAUGUUCUAAAUAGCUUUUUACAUUGAGGUAGGUAAACAAAUAUCUUCGAUGCUUCUUUUCAGACCAAUCGCUCUUUAUGUUUCAAAACUUUGUUCCUUUUGUCACCUUGGUCUCCUACUGACUGACAUUCAAUUCUUAUAUUCUUGUAUGUGACUUCUUGAAGUGUGUUGGAGAUAUAUCCAAAGAUUUCUGACUUUCUCUCACCCAACAUAUAAGCAAAUAGGUCAACAGUGCCUACUAUUAACCUCUUAUUCACAGGAAAAGAAACUUCAUUGCAAAGUUCUGCAGCUUUGCAGAUAGGUAAAGGAUGGGGGGAAAUCUGCUGUAAGUGCCCAAUUUAUUUUGUCAAGGAUCUUAAACACAAUGAAAGCAAUGUAGCACCAUUAAACAGUAGCCAAUGGAGCAUAUCUGGUAGAGUUCAUAACUUUGGGUCCUUUGGGGCACAUAAGAGCUCAGAAAGAAUCAUGUGCAGUGCAAGAAAGACACAGACUUACAUCACCAUUCAGGAAAAACUUAAACGUUAAAAAAAAUGCAUACACCAAUAAAGCAAUAAACUCAGUCAGAAAGAGGAAUCGAAAUUGAUGCUCAGGAGGAGCCUCUCAACAAUUUCUUUGCUUUCACCUUUUCAGUGCCUGAAAAACCCUGAAUCCUUGCUAGUUUAAACUGAGUAAGUUCAACAGCAUUUUACUUGGCAGCAUUUCUAGAGAAACAUGGAAGUUUUCUUAGCAAUGCUACCUUUGUUAAAAAAUCAAUAACUGUAAAUAUUUCCUAAAUAGACAAGCCUCCAUUUUUGAUCACGGGAGUAUCUCUAAACCCUAUUUUAUGCUGUAACAUUAAAUAGCUCCUCUGUCGCCUCUGUAUCUCCCUUCAACUUUUUAAGAAAAAUGUAAACUUUUGUGCUAUUCACUUGGAACUCAUGUUUAUUUAGAAUUUUAGCUUUUAGUCUCUUGUGUUGCCUUUAGUUUUUAUUAAUUUUGUAAUCACAUGAGAAACCUUAGCUUGCCAAUAAAAUAAGGAGCUAAGAUAGUAUAUUGUGGAAACUGUAGUCUCGUUGUAAUUUCCUUAGUCGAGAUUCAACAAUGAACCUUCAGGUCUUUUUCAAAUGUGUUCUUGAAAUUUAAUUUCCUUUUCAUUUGAUAGGUAGCAGAAAACUAAGAUAUUCCAGUUAAGGUCAUUUUAUUAGUACCCUUUAUGUGUUUUUCAGUUUUAGUGAGGUACUUUACAGGGCUUUGGAAUGUGCUUAGCUUGAGUGCAGCCUGAGGACUAAAGCAGAUAUGAAAAGCAGAGGUUUUCCAAGUGUUGCUGAGUGAUGGAAUCUGGGACUGGGCCUGAUUUUCAUGAUGGUUUUAGUAUUUUUCUUUCUGUAAUACAAAAAAUCAGCGCAAGCAUGAUAGAUACAUUGUGGCUAAAACAUACAAAUGUAUACAGAGAAAUGUCAGUGCUAUUAGUUCUAUCCUCAUGUGAUUAGCAAGUUUUUCUGUAUAUGCACCUUGAACUGAAGAACAAAAUUAUUAUUCUAUGAGUAAAUUUGUCAUUGUUACUUUCAAAUCACCAAUUAAAAAAUCAAGGAAAAUGCUUUCCCUGAAAAAUUUUCAAACUCGUAAUACUCAUCUUUGAAUCACUAAUCAUGCUAUCAAUAGAUUUCUUGAAUUAAGAGGUAUUUUUUCCCCUUUCCAAUGAAACAAAACAUAUCAGGAGUGUGGUCAAGGUAGAGUUGAUGAGCAUUUGCUCUUGCAAUUCUUUAGAGCUACAAAAAUAGACUUUUGCUUUUAACUUUUUUGAUACUUGUUUGCUAGAGCAUAAGGAAGUCAGGCCCUUUUUGCUUUUAACUUUUUUGAUACUUGUUUGCUAGAGCAUAAGGAAGUCAGGCCCUCAAAAAUAGGUGAAAGAAGGGUUAAGGAAACACAACCGACCUUGUCCUUUACUUCACUGACUCAAAGACUGAUUAGCACCAAAACUGAAACGAUGGCUAUGCUUCUGUUUGCUUCUUUUUUCCCUAAUGAUCAACUAUUCAUGUCUGCUUAGAUUUUUAAAUCACCUUGUCCUUCAGAUUACUGCAUCUUCCUAAUCGAGUCAAGUUCAGAAGUCUUCACAAUAUAAGUUAGGAAAAUUCUCAUGAUGUCAGUGCCAUGGGCAAACCAGUCACCACUGCCUUAGACUGCCUGUCAUGCACUCUAUGCACCAGACAGAAAAAUAUAAUUUCCCAUUGUAUGACCUACUUAUAUAGAAGUGAAAUUCAGCAGAUCAGCAUCAAGCGGUACAAAUACCGAGGAUUAUUUUCAGACUCUUCUCUGACUCACGUCCAGUGAUAAAAUCCUCAUAUAUAAAUUUCUGUUAUCUAUAUCUGAAGACAGACUCAGAAUUCAUGAUAGAGUACAAAACAAGUGAAUAUAUUCACAACAUCGCAUUUAUUCUCAAUGUAAAAGUUUAAGUGAAAUACUUAAUAACAUUGCAGUCACUAGGUGAAAUUCAAAUUAGUGGUUAUCUAGAAGUUCAUGUGGACUCUGUAAAAACUGGAUUACAGAGUACAUUAAACCUAGAGAAACAAAGACUAGAGAGCCAUGAUAUCUUUUUUCAAAAGAUUGUCCACUGAAAGAAGGGUUAGAUAUAUUUUAUUUUGCUUCAGAGAGUACACAGACCAUACCUAAUUGUGGAAGGUUAUCGGAUACUGAGUUCAGCUACAUACAAAAAUCUAAAUAAUUAGUAUCCUACAACUCUGUCUGCACCAGCAGUCAGUCUCUGUUAUUGAAAAUAUUUUAGACUCUCAGUGACAAUCUGCCAGGGAUAUUGCAAGGAGAACUGUUGAUCUGGCAAGGAAUAUGAAUUUGUCACUUUUAAGGUUCAUUCCAACACUGGUUCUGUUAUGGUCACCCUAGAAUAAAUAGACGGUACCAUUGCAUCCUUUCUAGACCUCUCAUUUCCUUUUGUUUACAUAGGAUAAUACACAAAAAAGGAAGAAAAGAAGGCCACAUUCACCUGUUAAUUAGCAGUGGAGACGCAGACAUAGAGAACUGACUUGUGGACACAGGGAGUGUAGCAAGGAAACAUACACAUUGCCAUAUUUAAAAGAAGAUAGCCGAUUUGCUAUGUAACUUAGGGAGCUCAAACCUAUGCUCUGUGAC
ensembl:lncRNA